ACUGCACAAAUAAGGCAUUUUUCAGUAGAAAUUGUCCCACAUAACGCUUUUAUCAAUUUGCUAUUGAAAGAACAGAUUUUUUUUUUUUAAUGUGCAGUGUUGAAUCAUUUCUUCAUUAGUCUAGAGUUAGGACUAGGGCUUCAGUUUCACUUCUUAAAUAUCAUAUAUUUGAUAUGCCCAGACUGCAUAUGAUUUUAAGCAGAGUACAACUAGUAUUAUAAAGUUAAUAUGAAGAUAUUAUUAAAAAGAAUUUUUUCCCCAGAAAUUUGGUAUCUUUCAAAUUAUACCUUGACCUUGAAACAUUUGAAUAUCCAGACAGUUUAUUUCUUAAUGGUGUAAAAAUCUCAUUUUCAAUAACUUACUGGUGCUGAAAUUGUUCACUAGCUGUGGUCUGACCUUGUUAAUUUACAAAUACAGAUUGCAUAGGACCUAUUAGAGCAGCAUUUAUAGAGUUUGAUGGAAAAUAGAUUAGGCAGAACUUCAUCUAAAAUAUUCUUAGUAAACAAUGUUGACAUGUUUUCCAUACCUCAUCAGUUUCAUUCAACAAAUAAAAUUUUAAAAUUUUUAACAAAGUUGUUAGGAUUUACACAUUUAUAUUUAAACAUUGAUAUAUAGAGAAUUGAUUGACUGCUCAUAAGUUUAAAUCGGUAAAGUUAGAGACAUCUAUUCCUAAGAUCUCAUCAUUGAAAUUUAUAUGCCACCUUGUCUUUCAUAAGAGCUGAAAACUGUUGACUAAAAUGAAAAUCAACUAUUCAUGUUUUGAAGAUAGUUAUUAAUACUGUUAUUUGUUACAGUUUUGGGCACAGUAUAUUAAAACAUAACUUGUAUUGUUCCAAUAUGUAACGUGGAGGGCCAGGUCAUAAAUAAUGACAUUAUAAUGGGCUUUUGCACUGUUAUUAUUUUUCCUUUGGAAUGUGAAGGUCUGAAUGAGGGUUUUGAUUUUGAAUGUUUCAAUGUUUUUGAGAAGCCUUGCUUACAUUUUUAUGGUGUAGUCAUUGGAAAUGGAAAAAUGGCAUUAUAUAUAUAUAUAUUAUAUAUAUAUAAAUAUAUAUUAUACAUACUACUCUCCUUUAUUUCAGUUACCAUCCCCAUAGAAUUUGACAAGAAUUGCUAUGACUGA
rnacentral:lncRNA from 1 species